CUAGCACCAUUUCUUAUUGCAGCUGAACUUGACGGUGAAUUGCAGGCCUAGGCGGCUAGAGAGAAUAAGGCCAGGUUUGGAGAAAACCGGAGGCGUGUUAAUCCGGGAGAGGCGGAACCUUGGCUGAGGAGGGUGAGAAUUCAGUGAGAGUAGAGGGCAUUCUGGGAGCUAGCAAGGACUCCUGGGGAAUGGAGUCCAGAGUUCAAAUCUCAAUUUUACAAUAUGAAGAGGAAAUGGAUCUCAUUUUUGGACAAGAUAUACACAAAAGAACCAUUGCACAGUGCCAAAGAAGCACAAAGCUAAACUGCAUAGUGCCAAUCAAGCACAAGGUCAAAGAAACCAACCAAUCCUGGUGAAAUUGAUGUAACUUUGAGCCUAGACAAAGAGGACUUGAACGUGUUUGGGGUUCAAGGUUGUGGCUGUUUAACAUGUGUUAAAGGCAGGUAUUCCUUGUUCCACAUUCUACCAAGUAUCUCAACCUUGGCUCCUAUAAUUUGGUCCCUUUUCUGUCUUUCAUAGUGUGGUACCUUUCUGUAGUCCUGGCUACUGACUGGGUAAAUGCAUCAUUGCUUAGAUCAUUUUGAUUGGGCCCUGAUUCAAGGACCUGUUAUAGAUUUAUUUUUCUUUUACUUAGAGUUUUUACACAUAAGACUUUGAUAGUCUAUUAUUUUCAUCCAGAAAUUUUUCUUUUCUUUUGGAUUUUUCUGAUAUCUUUUUAAUUUCUCUUGCCAAGUGUUUCAUAUACCUCAUACCUCAGCCAUGAAUCCUUAAGUGAUCCUGUAUUUUUCAAUCACCCUCUUAACGGGGGGGGGGGGGGGAGGGU